UGCGGAAAAUCUGGCCCCCGAGCGUGGGGCUUCCGGUGAUCCAUCUUGGGAACCACUGAGCGAUGAACUUGCUAAAUGGUUUCCGCUGGAGACCUGCUCAGCUUACACUCAGCUGCAAACGGUGGCAGACUCACUGCUGCUGGAAAGCCGAUGGCGCAAAUGGUGGUGGUGAUGCCGAGGUCUUGUUGCAGUGAACACGCCCUGCAGCAGAUGCCUGGGUUGGCAGCUCCUGGGUCUGCUGAACUCACAUUGCUGACACUCCCUGAGUGUUCCAGAGGCACAUCUGUUCACUUUGAUGCUCCGGAUUGGAUGUCGUCACGUCUUUCUAAGUAGUUCUUGACCUUGGAUUUUCAUUAGAGUUAUCUGAGGAGACUUUCAAAAUUGCGAUGCCCAGAUCACACGUUGGAACAAUUACAACGAUCUCUGGGAGCGGGAUGAGGCGUCAGUACUUUGUAAAAAUUGCCCAGGUGAUCCCAAUGUGCGGGCGUGGUGGAGACUCGCUGUGUGAGAACAGCGCGUCUCAAACUUUCCUGCGUAUGUGAAUCACUGGGGAUUUUGCUAAAACGCAGAUUCUGAUUCAGUAGGGCUGCAGUGGAACCACGGAAUCUGCGUGUCUGACAGGCUCCCGGAGGAUGCUGCUGCGGGUUCCAGGACCACAGUUUGUGGAGCAAGACUUUGAGGGCUCAGCCGUCUGGCUCUGCUCUCAGAAGCUACAAGUCCAUGAGAAACUCGGGCUGCGGACAUCCAUCUGGGGACUUCGCUGCCCACCCUCAUCAGUAGAAUGAGACUGGAAAGUGUGGGUACCCUCGAGAGGCUAAUAAUCUGGACCCUUUUCAAAUGGAUAGUCUUUAAAUAUUUGUUCAACAGUUUUAGUGGGGGUGGCACUGGUACUGGCAAGGAUUUAAAAAAAUUGUGACUUGAAUGUUCUGUCUGCCUCAAGGAGUGUGGGCAUUUGCCACUUUUAGAGCUAGACAGCAUCUGAAGCUCCUUCUUGUGCUUUGGGAACCACCCACUGUGCAUCUCACUAGGUGGCCCUAUUGCCAUUCAUGGAAGCUGACGUGGCCAGAUGAUCUCCUGCCCCAGGAAGGUUAGAAAAAUAUGGCCAAUGAUAUUUCCCUGGUUGUUCGUCGCUGACGGCCUUGUCAGCUGGCAUCACCUCAGGCCUGCGGACUAUGCAGGAGCCACUGCUGCUUGGAGACGACAGAGGAAGGGGUCAGUGGCUCACCGUUGACUGGCUGGGAGCUGGGACCCUAAAAUCUCUCCCCUCGCCACCUCCUCUUCCGUCACCGAAGAAUCAACAUUAGUUUCAUCUUUGCAGCUACCAGGCCUCUCACCUUUCCACUUCCUUCCAUGCGGCUUUUCCUCCCCCACUUCCUUUUUAUAUGAUUUUGACUAAGAUGGAAGAAAAUAAGAAAGAAUAUAACAGUGACCAACUCUGGAAUUUUACCUAGCAUGGUUUCUUUCUUUCUUUCUUUUUUUUUUUUUCUCUUAAUGAUGUCAGUUUCCUCCUCUACAAAAAGAAGUUUGGAUGGAGUGAUCUCACUGGUCCCUUCAGGCUUUUGAGGCCCUUCCUCUGACUCACCAGCCCCAGCCUCCUGUGCACAUCCUGGAACCUGGUGGGGAGAUGUGUCCGUACCUAAAGCAACUUCCAGUGUUAAUCCUCCACAGUCUCCUGAAUGAGUCAGCGAAACAGCAAGAGAGGAGGACAUGAGUCUGUGGAGGCCCCACGAAGGCCACUUUCCAAAGCAUGACACGUGGAAGGAAUCCCAUUAAACCAUGGUCUUCUUCAGAAUCAGCAGGGAGCCCCAGAGAGUCUCGCUUAGUAAGUCUGGGGUUCAGCUCCAAAAUGUGCAUUUCUAACCCGUAGCCCAAACUUAUUCUGAUGCAGGUAGCCCAAGAACCAAACUUCAAGAGACACAGGUAUAGACCAGAGUUACGUAACCUGGGCACCAUCGGCAUUUGGGCUGGAUGAUUCUUAGUUGUGGGGGGCUGCCCUCUGCAUUGUAGGAUGUUCAACAGCAUCCCUGGCCUCUGCCCACUAGAUGCCAGGAGCAGCCCACACUCCCCAAUUGAUACAAUCAAAAAUGUCUCCAGACCCCGUCAUUUGUCCCCUGGGGAGUAAAAUUGCCUCUGACUGAGAACUGCUGCCACAGAUAGAGCUUCUUCUUGGGACCUGCAAUCACACAUUUUGAUCAACACAAACAGGUUGCUAGAAGAGAAGGGUUCAUGUCGUCAGCUGAGGCAAAGAUACCUCCAAUGGAAGCCAACCCAUGUGAUGGGCAUGUCUUUGGUCCUGGCAACAGCCUGUGGAAGAGAGGCAGGGCCCUUGGAGAAUCCCUCUGGCAGGACUGAAUACAGCACUGCCUAACUCCCACACUCGGGGGACAGGGUGGUCCACCAGCUUCCCCAGACUUCCGAGAGACCAUUUGGACAUCAUGAGCUCUCGCAUCCACCAGGCUCCUCGGUCACUUUGGGAAGUCAGCUCCCCAGUAGCAAAUGUCUGUCUAGCACUUGCUGUGUGCCAAGCACUGGGCUGAGUGCUUUGCAUACAUUACCAUUGCUGAUCUUCCCAGCAGCCUUAUGAUGCAGCUUCUAAUAUCAUCCCUAUUAAACAAAUAAGAAAAGUGUGUCAAAUAGCGCGUCCAAGUGGUCAGCCCUGGAUUUAAGCUCAGACAUCCUGACUCCAGAGUCUGCGUUGUAACCCACUGUGCUGUACACAUGUGUGCCUGUCUCUCCCCAUUUCCUGAAAAAUACCCAUCUUGUCUAAACACCAGGGAAACAGGAUUUUCGGUGAAAACAUAUUAUAAUAAAAAUUAAGGAUGCUUUUUGAACUAAGCCUUCCUGACUGGAGACCAGGAUACAUCAACCUGGGUAGCAUUCUGCUCCCUGGGGAGCAGCAUAGGCAUGAAUCCUACCCAGGGCAUGUAACCAGGCACCUCCUUUUGUCCAUGUUCCUGACUGUUUGAAAGGUUUUGGAAUGUCAGCGAGUGGAGAGGAGCAGCGGGGGAGGAGGAGGUGACGUGCAAGAGGACAUUGAGAGGGGUUCAGGACAUCUGCAUGCAUCUACCUUCCCCACUGGGAGGUUUUAGGCAAAGUUCUCUGUGAAUUUUUACAAACACCACCAGCAAACCCCUGCGGAAUAGUAGGAACUUUGGGUUGGAUGGCACUGUGAGGAUUCCCACCGUGCCUGGCUUUAUUCUCUAAAGACGAGCAGGGGAUGAGCAAAGCCAUCAUUUAGAAUGGUGAUUGCAUCUGCGUAUGAGCAUAUUGCUACAGUAGUUCAAAACCCUUAAUUUAUAUGUCGACUGCAAAUAGGAAAAAGCAAGGGGAAGUGGAAGAGGAGAUAAGCGUGACUUCAGAGCGCCAGUGAGCUGGAAUGCCUUGCAAGGUGCUGCCAAACUGUGAUCAGUGUCAAGUUUACUGUCUUGUAGCUGAAGAUCACUUGAGUAGACAGUGUUAGAAAAGCAGGACGGUGGGUGGAGCAGGUCCUGUGCUGUGGGAGGGACAGGGUACAAAUUGGUAUAGAGAGAGGCAGGCGGCAUCAUUAAGGGCAAGCCAGUGGCGUGGAGAGUUGGUGUGUUUAGUGACAGGAAAGGAUUUGCCUUGUCUGUACAUAAAAAAGAGUGAGGUCAAGGCACAAACAGGUGUGUUCAAAUAGCAGCCCCACUGUUGAAGGGGUCCAUGGUGAUUUUUGAAGAAAAAAAAAAUUCUAAGUUGUUUGUCCAGUGGGACUUUUCUUGCAAGUGACAGAGACUCAAUUUAAACUGAUUUAAGCAAAACACAAAACAAAGCAGAAAACAAACAAAUGCAUAUAUGUGUGGAGAGGGAGGGUCAUUAAUUAACCCAAUGGAAAAUUCCAGAAGCUCAAAUGAUGUCAAUAGUGCUUUGUUUUUCUUUGUCUUUUGAUAUCACCUUCUUCUGUUGGGCACUCUCAUUGACAGAUUUUCUCUGCAUGACAGCCCCCAAGCGUGUCUAGAUUCAAGUCCAGUAGAAAGAGAAGUCUUGUCUUUGUCACUGGUCCAAGCUAAAGUUCCCUAUUUUAGUCUCAUUGGCCAGUCCUGGGUUCCAUGCUUUCCUUGAAUGAGGGGUUUAGGUCAGGCCCACCCAAACCACAUGGUCUGAGAAUAAGGGAGGGGCCUCACUCUGAGGGGGAGACGCCUCAUGGGUUCAUGAUGGAUUCAGAUGGGCUACUUGAUCUUUCCCACUCCAGGUUGAACAGUGAUCUACAGUCCUAAGCUUGCUGAUCCUGUGGUCACACAAAGUAUUCCUACCGUUAAAUUUCCUUCCUGUUCUGUAAUAAGCUUGGGCUGGCAAUUUGAUUUUAUUGACGGUCACAUCCCAAGUGAUGAUUUUUGAUUUACAAAAAAGUAAACUCCAGGAUUGGAUUUACUGAUAAAUAUCAUAUAAAGUCAUAGAGAUGAACACGAUACAGCACUUUUCUUUUCUUUUUUAAUGUGAAAACCUCUUAAAGGGGGGGCCAGAUCUUUGUGUCUCUCCCAAGUCUCCCAUCACCGUACCCAGUGGCUCCCGCAAUCUCUUGUAGCACAAGCCAACUCACACAAUCCUCAGCCACAGGAGCUCUGCCACCCUGCAGUGAGGCCACCGGACAGAGGAGGGGAGGGGAGGUGGGCACACACAAAAGUAAUUUAUUUAAGAGUGGUCACAACCACAGCUAUGGUGACAGCCGGUUUGCAGUCCUGGAAGCCUCUGAAAGGCUCAGUACAUCCUUCCCUCUUUGGGUUUUACAGUCUUGGACUAUCUUCUUAUGAUCCAAUCUUGGGUCCAAAGCCCCUUUUGGACCUUGUUUUGGCAAGUCAGCGAGACCACAUGCUGCUGUGCCCCAACUUCCCAUUUAUCUAAUUGGGGUCUGACUUUUCCCUCAUCAGAUGAUUCACACAGGGGUGUG
rnacentral:lncRNA from 1 species